GUAGGUGACAAGCGUUGUCCGGAUUUACUGGGCGUAAAGAGCGCGCAGGCGGUCGAUCAAGUCGAGUGUGAAAGCCCCCGGCUCAACUGGGGAGGGUCAUUCGAUACUGAUCGACUCGAAGGCAGGAGAGGGAAGUGGAAUUCCCGGUGUAGUGGUGAAAUGCGUAGAUAUCGGGAGGAACACCAGUGGCGAAGGCGACUUUCUGGCCUGUUCUUGACGCUGAGGCGCGAAAGCUAGGGGAGCAAACGGGAUUAGAUACCCCGGUAGUCCUAGCCGUAAACGAUGGACACUAGGUGUUGGUGGUAUCAACCCCGCCAGUGCCGUAGCUAACGCAUUAAGUGUCCCGCCUGGGGAGUACGGCCGCAAGGCUA
rnacentral:rRNA from 1 species